rnacentral:lncRNA from 1 species
AAAAAAAAGAAAAGAAAAGCACCCGGAACAGAGUGGGCACCCCAUUAAGACUGCUGCAGUCAGUGAACUGGCCAAGGUAUUCUUUUUCAAUUCACAAUUUCGGAACAGAAAUAAAUGGCUUUGCAAAUGCCUUGUAGAGAAAACACUCAGCCCUGGUCUAUUGGUCUAAGCUCAACACUGAUGUCUAAGUUUUGGGGGCAAGGAGAGGGUCCUGCCUGGAAUACGGCAAGCAAUCUGUCGUGUGUAUUCCUAAACUCAUGAAGGAACCGCUGCCAUUUCCGUCAAUUUUUAACCUGACCCCUUCUUUACAUGGAUUUGCCUUAGAAAAGUCUUCUCCAGACAUAAACUGGCAUUUAACAAAAAAGAGGGAAAAUGAAAACAAUAAGGUAUCAUUUCUUACAUCUGCCUGGAAAGACCACGGAGGAUGAGCUGAGUGUGAGGCAAACAGAAGGAAAUCGGAGGGCUCACAGCUGACAAGGGUGUUAAUUGGAAUAAAGUCCUGGAGGGCGAUUUGACAAUCUGUAGCAAAAUCCAUUUAAAGUGGCAUACAUCCGGACCCAGAGUUCCUCCUUUUAGACCUUUAUUCCAAGGAUUCAGCAAAUAUGAACGAAAAUUUUGUGAGAGGAUUAUGACUCCUGGUUAAAAAAGGAGCGUGCACGCUAAGUAGUAUGAACUGGCAUGAACUGACAUCCUUUGUAAGAACUGCAUUUUGCAUCUGGGCGAAGUGGCUUAUGCCUGUAAUUCCAGCACUUUGGGAGGCUAAUGCCGGCAGAUAACCUGAGAUGCAAACGCGUCUCCAUGAGGAAGAGCAAGGCUCCUGCAGGAUGGAGAUCAGAUGGAUCAGGGAUCCCACAGACAGAACCUUUUGCCUGAUAUGAGCACCCUUGGGAGAGACCUCUUCACACAAAUGUUCCUUGCAAGGAAAACACUCCUGCCUCACUUUCUUCAACCCAGCCAUGACCUUUCUUGGGACAGGGUCACACCAGGGUUACAGCAUCUGCCUCCCAGCCUCCCAGCUGGCCAGCCCUUCUGCAGUGGCUCAGCCGCAGACCCCUCCUGCACACCACAGCCAAAAACGAUUCUGCCAGGACUACAGCAUCCCGUGAAACUGACGCUUAAUGAUGCAGAACUCCACGUUUCCUGUCGUCAACUUGUCAUCAUUUUCCUUCCCAGAACCCCCAGCACCUCUGACACCGACCUGGAUCUCUACUCCAGAAACUCAAAACCCAUUUUUGCCACACCGUCACGCUAGCUCUCCUUUGCUCCCCUAAUCCAGGUCCCCGUUUCUCUGCACCUGUGCCCACCACCGGGAAUCUCUCCUGUUAAGUCGCCUCCUCCAUCCCGCCUUCUCCUGACCCCGUUGGCCCAUGCGUCUUUGAACUUUUGCAGAAUUUGCAUCUGUAACAAAUUACUUGCUAUUUAAUUAUGUUCUGUCAUAUUAUUCCUGUUGAAUUUGGCUGAGAACCAUGCGCUCCUUGAAAGCAGAAACUGUCUUUGUUGUUCUGUGUCCUGAUUCAACCCACUAGCCCCAGAGCACGUCUGCAGGAAAGGCCUUCUAAGCUCAGGUCAUCAAGCUCCUCCCAACUGCACUCUUUUACUUCUGUUUUUCCAAGUCGAUCUUUUUUUAAAAAAAAACAAAAAACUUAAAUGAAUUCAUUAUUAAAAAAACUUUUUAUCACCUCCAGAAAUGGAAAACUGUAUCAUUUGCCAUCAGUAGAAUUUGGCUGUAAAAGCAAAUUCCAUGUAAACAGAACAAUGCUGUUGGGUCCUACUUCCUCAGUCUGAGACCUGCUCUUUCUCCCGUGGUCAUGGAGACUCCAAGUUCUAAAGACAUACUAGGAACAGAGAGCAGCUUUUAUUGUAUCCAGAAGAAGAGAGACAGAAAAAAACAGAACCACCUGAAAAGUGAACAACUUCCUCACUCUGUGAUUGGCAGUUGUUGAAUCCAGUGAACAGGCACCACCAAAGAUCACCCUCAGCCCACACCUCAGGACCCUCUGGUACAGACUCCAAAAUCUACCACUUACUGUGUGAGUUCCAAGUAACAAACUCUGAGUAUUAUCUUAUUUAACUCACUCUGGGGUGAGUUCUCUAAGGAAGAACCCAUUAUUAUCCCGCUUUCCAGAUGAGGAAACUGAACAUAGCAGGAGAAAGAAGCUUGACCACAACCACACAGUAGUAAGUGACUAAGUCAGGACCCAGUGAGGAUAAACAGUCAUCCUAAGUUUUAUAAGACAGAAAAUUUAAUUACAGGGACUUCCUAGAUGGUAGAAGAGCCAAAACGUCAGACAAGGGACAUUGAGGCAACCCUGGUGUCCACAGCAUCAGGAAGUGGCUACCACCUCUCAGAUGCACAAGGAAGGAGGCAGUUAUCAGAGCCCAGGAAUCAGACUCACUGAAGGGAAGCUAGAACCAGGGUGGGUCUCUGUGGCAGGAGCUGGCUUGUAGAAGGAAAGAGCCUCCAGGCAAGACAGCCCAACAAACAGAGUCAAGAAGCCCACCCAGACUCCUGUACACACCCAUGUCCCUCCAGGCUUCCCAUUGGUCCAACCCAGUCAGAAGCCAGAGACACAGGAACCCGGGGCUCAUAGCCUGCAGAGGCCAGACCCCCCAUGAUACAGGGCAGAGCAGGGGUGGAUGGGAGGAGGGGGAUGCUUUGAGACCACCAGGCACAGGCUCACCCAGGUGGUCUUAUUCUGGGGUCUUUUCACUCACACAAACCAUGUUGUAGUUGACUAUUGGAUUUCAUGAGAUAAGAGUUCAUGUGUGUUCUUCCCCAUUCCAAGAAGAGGUGGGCUCUUCCUACUUCCUAGCUACCUGCAGCUACCUGGAGCUUUCUUCUAACAUCUAGGGAGUCCCUGUAAGUAAAUUUUCUGUUUUAAAACUGUUUAAAGUUGUCUGAAGACAAUUUUUCCUCCACUCUUUUAAGCCCAUUGAAAAGGUAGUGCAAAGUUUCCCGGAGUAAGAGAGGUGAAGGGGAAGUGGAAUUGUGUUUCUUGGAUUGAGAACAGAUCUGAGGUUCACGGAGCCUGUGGGCAGGGGUUACCUGCGUCU